rnacentral:sRNA from 1 species
GCACAUCUCCCUAACACUUCCUGCCACCUUCCGAGGCAGGAACAGCACCCGGACGGACUACGAGUACCAGCACUCCAAUUUGUAUGCCAUAUCAGGUGAGGCUUCUCCUCUGGGGGUUUUCCACCUUUGCUGUGGUUGUCUCUUCCACCACAGACAGCCCUCCUGUUCCCCACCACACCCCUGCCAGCCUCCAACCUGUCUGUGUCUCCAGCUCUUCCCAGAAGCCCUCCCUGACAGCUCCUGUCCUCCUCUGCUGGAUCCUGUGAGCACCACAGCCUCCUGUGCACCCUGAGCACAUGCCUUUCAAGGCCCUCCACCAGCUCAUUCCCUGCUGCGGGCAUGAGCCCUGCUUUCAGUUUCCCUCCCCAGUGAAUGAAUUCCCCUUGAGAGACUACGCAUAUGCUGCAAGUCCAGCCCUGCUCAGAGCCUUUCUUUGCCAAAUAAUCACCUUGUUAUUAAAGGAGCUGAUUGUUCUACUA